ensembl:misc_RNA 7SK 7SK RNA
GGAUGUGAGGGCAGUAUGCCUGUGGCAUCUGUCACCCCAUUGUUCUCCAGGGUUGAAUGCUUAUCUGGCAAAGGCAGGUGUCACCUUCCUCCAUCACCACCCCAUGGGCACCCCUCCUGUAUCUUUGUGUAAGAGGUUAGCCUUCACCAGUGGAGAACUAAUCUUCUUGACCUUGGCUAGUAUCUCCAAACCCUCCUGAGAAACCACAACAAAGUGUCUGUCUGCAACCUGCAUGCUGACUCUGCCUU